rnacentral:rRNA from 1 species
GUGCCAGCAGCCGCGGUAAUACGUAGGGUACGAGCGUUGUCCGGAAUUAUUGGGCGUAAAGAGCUCGUAGGUGGUUGGUCACGUCUGCUGUGGAAACGCAACGCUUAACGUUGCGCGUGCAGUGGGUACGGGCUGACUAGAGUGCAGUAGGGGAGUCUGGAAUUCCUGGUGUAGCGGUGAAAUGCGCAGAUAUCAGGAGGAACACCGGUGGCGAAGGCGGGACUCUGGGCUGUAACUGA